ACGAAAGCCGCCAUUUCGAAUUUUCAAUUUAUGUUUAUUAAUUUACUGCAAUUAUUAAUUAACGAUAAUUAAUCUACCAGGUCGAGUUCAAGAAGUUAAUGUAACCAAAUAUAUGCAACAGGUUUGGCCUUGAAAACUGUCUCCCGAGUCCCACACUUGGAUACAAUUCCCGAAAUUUUAUUAAAAACCCAGGAAAUGAGUUUCGGGUGAAACUAAUUGAUUUUUUCAUGCGUUUAGGUAUUGAGGUUAUGUUAAAAAAUACUCACCGAGGUCCGUUGCAUUGCCAUGUUCACACUUAAUCGAAGUCAAUUGUGAUGUAAAUGGUGUAAUCAGCCCCCCCUUGACGAUGGUUAUAUGUUAAGUAAGUCGUGCGCCUUCGGGUUAUCGCGAUUUACACAAUUGUAUAAUUUUAUUUUUAUCAAGUGAAAAACAUGUUUAUCUCGCGGCCGGUUUGGGGGGUAUGCGCUUUUAUUGAUCUGUACGACCUUGACGUUGGUCAAGACUACACUAAAUCAGAGACAUGUUUCAAUAAUACUUUAUUUCAUAAAAAAACUAUGUACACAAUAAAAAGAGCCUUAAUGUAA